GAUGAACGCUGGCGGCGUGCCUAAUACAUGCAAGUCGAGCGAACGGACGAGAAGCUUGCUUCUCUGAUGUUAGCGGCGGACGGGUGAGUAACACGUGGAUAACCUACCUAUAAGACUGGGAUAACUUCGGGAAACCGGAGCUAAUACCGGAUGAUAUUUUGAACCUCAUGGUUCAAAAGUGAAAGACGGUCUUGCUGUCACUUAUAGAUGGAUCCGCGCUGCAUUAGCUAGUUGGUAAGGUAACGGCUUACCAAGGCAACGAUGCAUAGCCGACCUGAGAGGGUGAUCGGCCACACUGGAACUGAGACACGGGCCAGACUCCUACGGGAGGAAGCAGUAGGGAAUCUUCCGCAAUGGGCGAAAGCCUGACGGAGCAACGCCGCGUGAGUGAUGAAGGACUUCGGAUCGUAAAACUCUGUUAUUAGGGAAGAACAUAUGUGUAAGUAACUGUGCACAUCUUGACGGUACCUAAUCAGAAAGCCACGGCUAACUACGUG
rnacentral:rRNA from 1 species